AGUUUUUCUGAAAAAUAAAAAAUGGCAGAUCCAAAGUAUGCAAAUUUACCCGGAAUUGACCAUAAUUCUCCAGAUGUCUAUGAGACUUCUGAACUCCCUGAGUCGGAACAGCAACAUUCUGUUGAGGAUGAGAGUGAUGCAGUUGAAAAACUUGGUGUAGAUGCUAAAGAAGCAUUUGGCAAGUUCAAAGACAAGUCAAUAGAUGGCAAAGCUGUUGAUUUCUCAGACAGGGUCAGUAGGAGUGUUAGGACAGGGUAUGAUGCUAGAACAGAAUAUGAACUGGCUGGAUUGGGAGCAAAAGAGACACCUUUACAGAAGUUCCAGAGGCUGCAGAGUGAGAUACAAGAAUUGGCUGAGGAAGUUAAUCAGCUUCAGGCCACUGUGAAGUCAGAGAAAUCCAAUGACAAAACUAACCCGGUGGUGGUAGCCGGGCAGGUGGAAUAUCUCCAAAACCAGUUGACUGAUCUCCACCUGGAGAAAACAUUGGGACCUGAUGCUCAGAUAGAUCUAGGGGAUCCACAGGGGGCGCUGCAUAAGAGGUUGCUGACCCAUCUAGAUGCUGUAAAGACGCCCAAGCCCGCAGAGAAGGGAGGAAAGCCCACACAGAAAGAUGGCACUGAGAUCACAUAUGAAUUACACUACAAGCCUGAACAAGCAAAAUUUACACAUAAUGCUAGGUUAGCUGACUUGGAUCAAAGGCUAGAGAGGAUGGAGGCCUUGAUAGGACAGAGCCCUGAGAAAAUGUCUGCUCUUACAUCUGAUACAGACUCUAAAAGCAUAUUGGGUGCAGUGCAAGCAAUCAGUGCAAGGAGCAGUCUAUUGGAACCUGACCACCUUGACAGUAUAGAGGGAAGACUGCAAGCACUCUCUCAGAGACUGGCCAUUGUUACUGAAAAGAAAGGAGCUGUGGAAGAAGUCGAUAAACAAAACAAGGUAUCUGAAUUGUAUGAGCUUGUUAAACGCUGGGAGGCUGUGUCUAGUACCCUACCUGAAGUUGUAGAUAGAAUGUCUGCCUUGAAAGAGCUCCAUGAACAAGCCAUGCAGUUCAGCCAUGCCCUGACUCACUUGGACACAUCUCAACAAUCAAUUACCACACAGCUGUCCAGCCAUGGAACCAUGUUGAAGCAGUUGGAGGGUACGUUUAAAGCCAAUAUAGAUACAAUCAAGGCCAACUGUGCAAGCAUAGACUCUAGGAUAAAAGCCAUCAGCAAGUGAUAAUAUCAACUACAUGUAGUAUAUAUUGCUUUAUGACAGUUUGAAGGAUUAUACCAGCUCCUAAAAUAUAUAUGUGCAUGCUACUUCCCUGGGACCCUGGUUUCUUCCAUUCAACUUGAAGGGAAAAAGUGAAUUAAGUCCAAUAGCCUUAUUGGUAAUAUGCUUUGGUUUAGAGAUUCAAAUAGUGGGGGAUUUUAAAGGGAUAUCAUACAUGAUUAGCGGGGUAAAGGAUCCAAAAACAGGUGAGGCUAGUUUAAAUAGGUGAGGCAAAUAUAGAAAUAUGUGAGUUAAAUUUUAAAGUAAAGACGGAAAUAAAAUAAUGCUACUAUUGGGCAUCUUUUUCACAGUUUCAGUUAAGAUAUUUUUUCUGUAAAUUUUUGGUGAAGCAAUUAGAUCACCUGCCUUUACCUGGUUAGUAGUGACUACUCCUAUGGUUUUCAACUCUAUUACGAGCUAACUUAAGAAAUGUGUGAGAAAGUAACAUUUUGAGCACUGAUGUAAAUAUGCUAAAUGAAACAUUGCCAAUACUCAAAUGCUGUCUUAAUUACAUUGAAUAUUUACCAUCUCGAAUAACUUAAGACACCAUGUGCAGUGAUCUCCCCAGGUGGCAUGAAAUGUUUAACUUUCAAGAGUGCAUCACUCAGUUGUGUUGUUCUAAUGCUGGGGAGAUCACUACUGUUUGUAGUCUAGACCUGGAAAUAUAGUUAGUUAGGCCUAACUUGAUAUUGUUUGUAUUGAAGAAUAUCUGAAGAAUAUAUACUUUUAAAAAACAUAAUCACUAGCUUUUACCACUGAAUACAUGUGGUUUGUGCACUAUGGGUAAUUAUAGACCUUCACCUCUAGAAAAUUGGAUCCUAUCCAUUUGAGAUCAGCUUCAGAUUUAUAUAAAGCUUGAUAUAAAAUGGUGGGAAUAUGUAUGGCCUUGUAUAUUAGUACUUCCUCUUGAAUACCAGAGCAUUCUUCAGUUUUUGCCAUUUUACAACAUAAUAUUUGAUAUUCAUAAUGUAUUGAAUGUUAAUGUUAGUGAUCGAACAUAGACAAAUUUCACACAUUCAAAUGAGUAGUACUGCCUACUAAAAAACAAAGUAAAAGUUGUGUAACUGAUAUAGAGGUAAAAACGGUGCUUGUUAAUGUAUAUCAUAUUUAGCAUUUUUCAUCAUGAUAGGCUUAUGUCUGAGGUGUGUCUAAUAAAAUACUGUAAUGCUGUUGCAUUGUUGCAAAGCAUGGCCAUCAACCAUGCUGAUGUUAAUGAAGAUCAAUCCGUAUCAUAAUUUAUUUAUUACUUUUUCUUCCAUUAUGUAAUAUGAAGAAUAAAUGUCAUGUAAACUAUAUAUGAAACACAUAGUUUUGUUUGCAUUAAGUGAUUUAACUUCAAAAUGAGCUUUCAAUUGACCUGAUGUUUAGCCUUGUCCCAUAUUGCUAUCAAGAAUCUUUCUU
rnacentral:misc_RNA from 1 species